rnacentral:lncRNA from 1 species
AGAUGGAAGGUGAAAAAUCAUCAUUUCCAAUAAAGCAGUGCUAGCUGGUAACCAGGUCUGCAUAACACGCUUCAUCAGAGCCUUCCCCAUCAGGUCCUUCUCAUCACUCUUCAUGGUGACACCAAGCUUUGUCAACAUGGGCCACAACUUAUCCUUCUGAUCAUUCAUGCAGGUGUUGAUGAUCUGCUUGAUGGGUUCGUAACAGAACUGAACAAAACCACGCUUGCAGGUAGCAGUGCCGGUGCUCUUGCUGGUCCAUUUCUUCGUAGCUGGGUCAAAAAAGUUCUCACCCCAGAGCCUUUCCAUCAUCUUUGACUCAUCAACUCCAAACUUGGAAGCAUACAUCUUAGCGAAGUUGGUCAGAGUGAAAGCCCAACCGUGCAAACCAGCUGAGAAGGCGACUGUUCCUUUCUCUGGGUACACUUGGACAUCACCAAGAAGUGGAUCUUCAUAUGUAGCCAUAAUGACAUUAGCAUUCUCAAUAACCCUUUGGAAUGUCUGGUAAGCUUCCUCUCCAUCAACCUGGAGCUCAAGGAAGCAUCUGUCCAUCUUGUUAACGGUCAAAACAGGCCUGAUCCUCUCUCCCAAUGCUUGACGGAGCACAGUCUCAGUCUGGACACACACACCCUCAAUACAAUCCACCACCACAAGUGCUCCAUCAGUAAUACGCAGAGCAGCUGUGACUUCAGAUGAAAAGUCAACGUGCCCGGGGGAAUCAAUGAGAUUGAUGAGGUACUCAUUUCCGUUCCUCUCUCCCUUGUACCUCUGCAAAGACUCAUCAGUCAUCUCAUAGUACAGAGAGAUACCGGUAGAUUUAAUUGUGAUACCACGCUCUGCCUCAUCUGCGCGAGUAUCAGUCAUCCGAACAUCACCAGCAACUUCUUGUGCAAUGAUACCCGCAGCAGCAACAAGCGAGUCUGUAAGAGUUGACUUCCCUGCAUAUCAAAUUUCAAAAACAUUAUAUGUUUUGAGGAAACACCAUAGGACAUAAACAAAUAAAUGGAUAAAACGCAACUAUACAUAUUAACUGGUGAAAUAUUUCAAAUUAUAACCAAUAGAGAAAAGUUCAAAAUACUGAAAAAAAAUACACUUGACCAAAAUAUUACAACAUUAAAAAUUUUCUUUAACCAGGUUAAUAAAAACACCUUGUAACAAAGACAAGAAUUAUCAAGUGAAAAUAAAAAAGAUCUAUACCGUGAUCAACAUGAGCAAUAACAGACAUAUUGCGAAUGUUGUGCUUGUAGUCCAUAAUCCUACGGAGUUCUUCUGCUGUAAACUUCACCUGCAAUAUCAAGAAUAUCACACCAUUGUGAAUUAAGGAAUCAAUGGAGCAGCUCAGGAAUCACUAUGUAACCAUGUUCAGAUUGAUAGUCAGUGUUUACCAUCUUGACUAGUCUUUAAGAACAACCGGCAAUUAGUUUUUAUAAGAAGCUGAUUAACCGACAAGGAAACACCUGCAAAUUUAAACAACAAAAAAAUGAACUGGAAUUCAACUUGGAAUAUAAACAUUUAAAAUGACUAGAAAAUGACACACCAAUACAUUUCUAUGUUUAAAAAAUGACCAGAAAAAAAAAAUAGCAAUUUGUAUUCCACCAAAAGACUAUUGAAUUCCGGUAAAAGGAAUACAUAAUUUUUACUGUAUCAAGCAAUCUUAAUAAUCAAGACAAGUUAUUCGGUAAACGGUCUUGACAAAAGAAAAGGUAAUCACAAAUCAUUCCUUAUCAAUUAGGAUGAUCCUAUUAAUUUAGGGCCACCAAUAACAACAAAAUAGAAAACAAGUACGCAUAAUAAUUCUCUCUUACAAAUUAGUAUAUUUUAGAACGAAAAUUAUUCUGGAAAAUAUUUUUAUAUUAUUUCUUUGACAUGAAUAGGAAACAAAAUGUUCUGAAAAAAUUACUCAUAAAUUCAAACGAAACCUUAAUUUUCGAAAAUCUUUCCACUAAAAAAAUUGCUCAACGAAACUAUUUUCCAGCAAAACAACAGAGUAUUAGUACGAUCAAAGUAGAAAACAAGAUCUAGCAAAUACAAAACAUCUAGGGUAGUGCUAACCACACACCCACUUUACUUUUCACACACACUCAACUUUCUGCUGUAGGAUAAAAUGAAUUGAAGAAGAUCAAUGGCUAAAAACUAAAAAUGGAUGUGUGAACAAUUUACAAAUACUAGCGAAAUUAUCAUAUAUCACGUAAAAAUUAUCAAAAACGUCAGAAAAUUAUUCCACAGCAAAAAAAAUUUCACGUAAAAAUUUUCCGAUGAACCAACCAGAGCCUGAGAGAGUGAUCUGUACGGAAAACAAGGAUCUAAUACAAACACAUUUCACACAAACAUAUAUACACACACAAUGCAUCCGUAAAACCUGAGCAACGAUCGAAACGAUAAACGAGCAAAGACAUAAUACCAAACCAAAAGCAUGCAUAACAAUAAUAUAUUUCCAACAAUACAAAAUGCAUGCAGAUCACAGAUUUUUCAGAACAACAAAAUGCAUGAUUAACGACGAUAAUCAAGAAAUCACGAGGAUAAUCGGGGGGAUUAAAUCAAAGGAAGCGACUGAUUCGAAUAGCAUAGAAUUAGAGGAACGAACCUGAAGGAUCGGGAGAUGGAGAGCGAGGGAGGGAUGGAGAGAGGAGUGACUCUCCGCAGCCUAGAGCUAGUGGUGCAAAUGGGACUGAGAGAAUGUGUGGAGCCCGGAGGAGGGUGUGAGUGUUAUAUAAGGUUAGGGUUUUCGUUUCUUGGGUUGGGCUCCGCUUUCAUAGUUUAUACUAUUUUCUAGGCCCACCAAAAUCUCCAUCGGCCUUUUUUUAUUCUAAAAUCAUGGGCCUUAGGGCUUUUUAUUUAUUUUUUAUUUUUAACAACAUUAUAUAAUUAUGGAUAAUGAUGGGAAGAUCAAAUUUGAAAAUCAAAUAAAUAGAAAAUUAGCACGUUAAUUAAUAUUUCAAUAAUAAUUCAAUUACAUUUCAUAAUCAUAAAAGUCGACUAAGUGCAAAAAGACGGCCACACAUGACCUUUGCCAAUCGACCUAUUCCACAGUUGUAUGACCUAGGUUAAGAAGGUCAAAGCUUCUUGUUAGACACUCAAAACUCAAAACUUCAAAUUCUUGUUUAUUAAUUAAACAAAAAAUAUUGAGAAAAGUUAUUAGCAUUUUAGUAUGGCAUGUUUUUCUUUGAUUGUAAGUGAGAGAAAAGUGAGAAGUGGAAAUGAAUACAACUACACUGUCGUGCUAAGCAGCCUCCAAUAUUCGUAAGGUAGGCAUAAACUUCUUCGUCUAAUAAACGUUUUCUAAAUAUGAGCCUAGGGUUUAUUUACAAGAUAUACAUAUAUUCUAACCAAUUCACUUAACCCAACCCACACUUGCAAAGAUAGCCUAGAUUUAAAAAGCCUUAGCUCCCCCAAACACUUCUACUUUGGACACCAAACCCCAACUCUCUUUUUUUCAUUUUUGUAGCCAAAACUAUAGUAUCUACAUGUAACAACAUUGAUAUCAAGUCGAUGAAUUGUAUAGCAUGAAUUUUAAAGGGUGUUUGUUUGCCCUCACUAAGCUUCACUAGAUUGGAUUGGCUUAGCUGGAAUUUCUAAUUCGUGUUUGGUUGGAACAAGGAUUAAGUAUAAUGGGACUAAGUCGGAUUCGUGCCAACUAAGUCCUUCACUCCCAGUUCUUAGCUAGGUUGCCCGAAACAUAUGGGAUUGCUAAUCCCGUCUCUAAAGCUGUGUACAAAGUCUGCACGCUGCAUCAUCUACACGCUGCAAGUCAUCUGCAAUCAUGCUUCUUUGCAACUCUGUUUGGCCACCUAUGCCCAGAUCUGAAACCCACCACACCCACUGCCUAAUUCUCAACAUCCAACUACCAAAAUUCGAAAAGAAAAAAAGUCAAUUCGAUAACAACAACAAACUCAAUAGAAAAAUUCUUCAUUUUUCCUAGAAAAUUAAGAGAAUUUUUGAGACAAUCAAAGGAGUGGCGAGAAAUAGAGUGGUCGUGAAAUCCAUGACGCAGCAGAGGGGUGCCUCUGCACGAUUUCAAUUCUCCGUGGGAUAUGAAGUUGGGAAACCAGAAUCUGUGGUGCCAGAAAUAGUUUAGAGGAAUCACAACAGCAAAGAAAAGGAAAGGGAAAAAAAGAGAACAAAACGGGGGUGAUGAAUGACGUUGAGUGAGGAGAGAGUGGAAAGGAAAAGAAAAAGACGAAGAGAGUGGAAAGGAAAAAUAAGAAAAAAAUGUGGAAAGAAAAAAAUGUGAAGAAAAAAAUGACGAAAUUAUUUGAUUUUCCAAAAUAAUGUAGUCCGUAACUUAGUCCGAUAUUGCAUCAACCGCUCCAUUAUUCUUAUCCUACUUAGUCCAUGCCUAGCCAAUCUAACUUAAUCUUUAAAGCUAAUCUAGUCCGAAAUAAUCCAAUACAACAAACGCACCCAAUCCCAUAUUGAUGCAGGCCAACCAAAUUCAUAAACUAGCACAAUUAAGAAUACAAAGCCGCUGGUUCCACAACUUACAAAACCUGAAUCAAACACGAGCUAGAGCGGUUUUCGGCACCUGUGCAGCCACUCGUAUUGGCGGCGCGCGAGCCGAGCAUUGCAACCACCACCUUCGAGGCGUUUUCCCAUCUCUAAUGAAAUAGUAGCAGAAGAAGCUGUUGCAGGUCUUCAAGUUAGAAAGAACAAACAUCAAUCAAAUACAUGAAACAAAGUAGACAAAAGUAUAGUAAAUUCAAAAAGCGUGUAGCAACAAUGGCAGAAAUUGUUCCACAAGCAACAAGGUAAAAGCAGAACAUUAUAAAGGUCUCUGUUCUGAGCACGCACAAAACAUUUAACUACUGGCACCCAGAUGCUGACUACAGCAACAAUGUUAACAACAUUAAACAAAAACGAUUAAACUGGAAACCAAAAAAUUAACGCAGUGCAUCGAAAACAAAUUAUUACUCAAAGCUUGUCCUCAAACUCGGAUAGUGGGGUCAUCUGCUCCUUCAAUCCCUUCCUCUUACGGAUGUCGGUAACAAGUGCUGCAGCCUGGGAUCCAGCUUCCAAUGGAUCAGACGACAUCAUCUCCCAAUGAUCAAACACACAUUGUGGGAAAGCCUGUCCAGAAGUUGCAGCCCUCAGUUGACCAGAGAAUCCAAAGGACUCGACAACGGGGAGGUAUGCCUUGAUGUUGUAAAGUGGAGUUCCCGGCCUCUGCAUCUCCUCAAACACGUGUCCACGUUUCUGAUUCAGAACACUGUAUAUACCUCCAAGAGCCCCCUCUGGAGCUUGAAUUUCAACAAGAUACACUGGUUCGAGAAGCCUUGGCUUGGCUGUGAGCUGAGAGGCAUAGAUGACCCUCCGAGCAGUUGGAAUGACCUGACCUCCCCCUCUGUGGAUGGCAUCAGCGUGAAGAACCACAUCACAAACUUCAAAGCAAAUACCUCUCAUGUUUUCUUCUGCCAAUGCACCUUCCUUUGAGGCCCACUGGAACCCAGCAACAACUGAAUCCUUGAUUUCAUUAAGGUACUGGACUCCCUUACACAUGUCGACCACCAUGUUAGGACCAGUGGUCUCGGGACCAAAACACCAGAUUUUCUUAGCAAGAUCCUUGUCCCAACCAAACUCCUCAGCCAAGAUCUUGGAACGAAUCUUGGGAUCAUCUCUUGGGCCAAUGCGACCUUCAUCAAUAGCCUCAGGAAGCCCUUCCUCAAGGGGCCUUGCUUCCAUGUACAGACGGUUAUGCUUGUUUGGAGACUUGCUCAUCACUGUACGGCAGGACUUAUCAAGGACAGUCUCACGGAAGGACACAACAGGGUCAGACUUUAUAAUCUCAGCACCACCCAUAAAAUCAUCUUGCAGAUCCUUCAAACAGAUCUCAAGAUGCAGUUCACCAGCACCAGCAAUAAUGUGCUCUCCCGACUCCUCAAUGGAGCAGACAACCAUAGGAUCAGACUUGGCCAAACGCUUGAGACCUUCAACAAGUUUGGGAAGGUCAGAUGCAACCUUGCACUGGACAGCAACACGCACGACGGGUGAAACUGAGAACUUCAUAGCACGAAUAGGGUGAGCAUCCACUUCCUUCUCAUUUGUUAAAGUAGCAUUCUUGGUGAUAAACUGAUCCAAACCGACCAAGGCAACAGUGUUACCGCAAGGAACAUCCUCAACAGUUUCUUGUCUCUUUCCCAUCCAAAUAACAGUCCUCUGUACAUUCUUGACAUACAAAUCCUUCUUCUCUCCAGGAACAAAAUUUGGACCCAUGAUUCUAACCUUCAAACCUGUCUGAACUUUACCAGCAAAGACACGGCCAAAGGCAAAGAAUCUACCCUUAUCAGAAGCGGGAAUCAUCUUAGACACAUAGAGCAUAAGAGGUCCUUCGGGGUCACAGUUCCUGAUGGCAUUAGCAUAUUGAUCAUCAAGGGGACCCUCAUACAAAUUCUCAACACGGUACCUUUGAGCCGUGGAAGGAGAUGGAAGGUGAAAGAUCAUCAUUUCCAAUAGAGCAGUGCUAGCUGGUAGCCAGGUCUGCAUAACACGCUUCAUCAAUGCCUUCCCCAUCAGGUCCUUCUCAUCACUCUUCAUGGUGACACCAAGCUUUGUCAACAUGGGCCACAACUUAUCCUUCUGAUCAUUCAUGCACGUGUUGAUGAUCUGCUUGAUGGGCUCAUAACAGAACUGAACGAAACCACGCUUGCAG